CAAUAAGCGGAGGAAAAGAAACCAACAGGGAUUCCCUUAGUAACGGCGAGCGAAAAGGGAAGAGCCCAGCUUGUAAAUCUCCGGGUUUCCGGCGAAUUGUAGUCUGGAGUAGCAACUCUUAAAGCUGUGUCCGCCCAAGCAUCUUGGAAUAGAUCGCCUUAGAGGGUGAGAGCCCCGUAGGCUGGCAUUGGCUUUUUCACGGAGUGCUUACGCAGAGUCGGGUUGUUUGGGAAUGCAGCCCCAAUUGGGUGGUAAACCCCAUCUAAGGCUAAAUACCUGUGGGAGACCGAUAGCAAAAAAGUACCUCGAGGGAACGAUGAAAAGACCGCUGGCAAGCGAGUGAAAGAGUGCAUGAAAUUGUAUAGUGGGAAGGGAUGGCCGGGCGUACUGCUUACGGGUAUACACUGCUCUUCGAGCUCUUGAAUACACCGUAGGCUGGCUGGUGCCGGCACUUAUGCUUGCAAAUCCCCAAACU
rnacentral:rRNA from 1 species